GUGGGGAAUAUUGGACAAUGGGCGCAAGCCUGAUCCAGCCAUGCCGCGUGAGUGAUGAAGGCCCUAGGGUUGUAAAGCUCUUUCAGUGGGGACGAUAAUGACGGUACCCACAGAAGAAGCCCCGGCUAACUUCGUGCCAGCAGCCGCGGUAAUACGAAGGGGGCUAGCGUUGUUCGGAUUUACUGGGCGUAAAGCGCACGUAGGCGGAUCGUUAAGUCGGGGGUGAAAUCCUGGAGCUCAACUCCAGAACUGCCUUCGAUACUGGCGAUCUUGAGUCCGGAAGAGGUGAGUGGAACUCCUAGUGUAGAGGUGGAAUUCGUAGAUAUUAGGAAGAACACCAGUGGCGAAGGCGGCUCACUGGUCCGGUACUGACGCUGAGGUGCGAAAGCGUGGGGAGCAAACAGGAUUAGAAACCUUAGUAGUCC
rnacentral:rRNA from 1 species